GUAAAGGUCAGGUAUUUACCUAAAUAAGCCUACGUAAACUUAAGAGAAUUUCCGCUGAAGGGAAACGAGCAUCUUACCAACCACAAUCUAAAGCAAAGGUGAUAGCCUCUGAUUUGGUUAGCUGCUAGGUUAUAACUAUUUCACUCCCCGUCUCCUGUGUAGGCCCCCUAUAUUUUCUAAUAUUCUAAUAUAAAAACAACAAACAUACGAUUGGGGCAACAUUGUCAAGGGAAAACAUAAUUGGUUGACUCACAUGCGUUGUGGGGUACACAGCACAUGAUUUAAUACGGAAGUGUGUUUUACGGGAAGGCGACACUGGUCUGUGACCGCAGCAUGUGCACCUUAAGUGACCAAAAUAACCAGUCGUGGGCUUUCAUAUUACACAAGUUCGCAGACGGUUACUGCCUCAUGGACUGUUUAACCUAGCCUUGGAACAGAACAAACGGACUAUCUGCGUGCUCAUGUUUAAAUUGCUCUCUUAAAAUGAGCUCUUUAAUUCUGUGCUUCGGACUUCUAUGUUUUCUUGAUGCUUGGGCUGUACAUUUUGCUUUGUCCUGCGGGGAGCUGCAGUUUCAGAGUGCAGAAGGCAGGUGCUGUAAAUCCUGUGGUAAAGGUAAAUAUGUCUUGGUGGAGUGUUCUAAAGACCAUGAGACCGAAUGUCUUCCAUGUAAGCCAGGAACUUACAAGGACAGCAUCAGCCCUUCCAAGUGUCAAUCCUGCCUUACGUGUUCAAACAAAACACUGGAACAAUGUA